AGUGAAGCGGGAAAAGCUCAAAUUUAAAAUCUGGCGGUUUUGUCGCCCGAGUUGUAAUCUGGAGAAGCGUUUUCCGUGCCGGACCGUGUACAAGUCUCUUGGAACAGAGCGUCAUAGAGGGUGAGAAUCCCGUCCAUGACACGGACUCCCGGUGCUUUGUGAUACGCUCUCGAAGAGUCGAGUUGUUUGGGAAUGCAGCUCAAAAUGGGUGGUAAGCUCCAUCUAAAGCUAAAUAUUGGCGAGAGACCGAUAGCGAACAAGUACCGUGAGGGAAAGAUGAAAAGCACUUUGGAAAGAGAGUUAAACAGUACGUGAAAUUGUUGAAAGGGAAACGCUUGAAGUCAGUCGCGUCUUACUUGACUCAGCCUUGCUUCGGCUUGGUGUAUUUCAAGUAGGAUGGGUCAACAUCGAUUUUGACCGGUGGACAAGGGGUGAAGGAAUGUGGCACUCUUCGGGGUGUGUUAUAGCCUUUGCUCAUAUACAUCGGUUGGGAUUGAGGCCCGCAGCGCGCCCUUGUGGCCGGAGGUUCGCCUCACGUAACGCGCUUAGGAUGUUGGCAUAAUGGCUUUAAGCGACCCGUCUUGAAACACGGACCAAGGAGUCUAACAUGCUCGCGAGUGUUAGGGUGGAAAACCCUUGCGCGUAAUGAAAGUGAAAGUUGAGACCCUCCGCAAGGGGGUGCAUCGACGCCCGGCCCUGAAGUUUACUGACGGUGCUGCGGUAGAGCGCGUAUGUUGGGACCCGAAAGAUGGUGAACUAUGCCUGAAUAGGGCGAAGCCAGAGGAAACUCUG
rnacentral:rRNA from 1 species